AUCCCAUUCAAGUCAUGGGACCGAUAAUAAUAUUUCACAUAUUAAGUGACUUUGUUGAGCUUCACAAUGCAUUUUUUAUUUUUGAAUGAUUUCAACAUUUUUUGCGAGAAAUGCCUCUCUACUUGAAUGGGAUUUGUGCCACGGAUGCUAAAACGUUAGCAAGUUGAAACAGUGCCAGGGGAAACUUAACCAAAGCAUGGACUGCUGUCACACCAUGUUCAUAGACUGGUAAAAGGGUAAGGAAACCAAUGUGUCAUUUUGUAAUUUGGGUGAACCUUCAAGAUAUUAUAACAAUAUAUUAGCAAGAGAAUAGAGGUGUAACGACUAGCUUUGCUUUGGAGCCAUAGCUCUUCAGUCCAUGUUCUGUGGUGGUUCUCUUCAGUUCAUGUUCUGUGAUGGUUCUCUUUAGCCCAUGUUCUGUGGUGGUUCACUUCCAUCCAUGUUCUGUGGUGGUUCUCUUUAGUCCAGGUUCUGUGGUGGUUCUCUUUAGUCCAGGUUCUGUGGUGAUUCUCUUCAGUCCAUGUUCUGUGGUGGUUCUCUUCAGUCCAUGUUCUGUGAUGGUUCUCUUUAGUCCAGGUUCUGUGGUGGUUCUCUUCAGUCCAGGUUCUGUGAUGGUUCUCAUCAGUCCAAGUUCUGUGGUGGUUCUCUUCAGUCCAGGUUCUGUGGUGGUUGUCUUCAGUCCAGGUUCUGUGGUGGUUCUCUUUAGUCCAGGUUCUGUGGUGAUUCUCUUCAGUCCAUGUUCUGUGGUGGUUCUCUUCAGUCCAUGUUCUGUGAUGGUUCUCUUUAGUCCAGGUUCUGUGGUGGUUCUCUUCAGUCCAGGUUCUGUGAUGGUUCUCAUCAGUCCAAGUUCUGUGGUGGUUCUCUUCAGUCCAGGUUCUGUGGUGGUUGUCUUCAGUCCAGGUUCUGUGGUGGUUGUCUUCAGUCCAGGUUCUGUGGUGGUUCUAUCAGUCCAGGUUCUGUGGUGGUUUUCUUCAGUCCAGGUUCUGUGGUGGUUCUCUUCAGUCCAGGUUCUGUGGUGGUUCUAUCAGUCCAGGUUCUGUGGUGGUUGUCUUCAGUCCAGGUUCUGUGGUGGUUUUCUCCCCUGGAGUCCCUCACACUCAGAGACAGCGACACAGGAAACACAGUAUGAGCACUUUACACACUGCUCUGCAGCAUUCUCUCUCACCUCUACUUUCUGUGUCUCUCUCUCACUCACCCAAUUACCCACUCACACAAACAAACACAAAAACUGUAUACAAAAUAAACACAUAAAUGAAUACGUUAUAACAUACUUACUGCCAG
rnacentral:lncRNA from 1 species